AUCGCUUCUCGGCCUUUUGGCUAAGAUCAAGUGCAGUAUCUGUUCUUAUCAGUUUAAAAUUCCUCAAACUUAUCCCCCACCCCCCACCUCAGGACCUUUGCACGUGCUUUGGCCUUUGUUUGAAAUAUUCCUCACCCUCU
rnacentral:snRNA from 1 species